rnacentral:lncRNA from 10 species
AGAAGGCUCCUGGGGUAGCUUUGGCAGAAACACCUGCUCUCGGCCUGCCCUCUGAGCUUCCCCGGGAUUCCUGAUGGGGCCACAUAGGUCCUCAGAUGGGGCCCAGCUUCUCAGUGUCCUUGCUGGGGUCUGGGUGAAAGGCUCCCAGGCCAGAGUCCCCACUGGGCCUAGAGUGCAGCUCAUUUCACUGCUCCUGUGGGCAACUACCCUCACCCCCCACCAAGUUCUCAGAGAAUGAGGGGGCUGCCCCUAAACAGCCAUGCCCGGGGUCUCAGGAAGAGGGGCUGCUCUGGGCCCCAUAAGCCCUGGGAUCUGGACCCCAGGGUGCCUUGGAGCAGCCAGGGUAGCUCAGCAUUGAGACCCCAGGCCCCUCUCUCAGUCUAGGGUAGGGGCUCCUGUGCUCUCUGUACAAUACUUACUUACCACUUUCAUUUCCCAUAGCUUGUAUCUAUUUAUUCCCUCAUUUCUCCAUUCAAGACAAGGAAGGGGGAGACCAC